rnacentral:lncRNA from 1 species
AUGGAAGGUGACGGGGGCAGCAAGAGCAACAAAGCCAGGGAGUCUCCUCGGGCGCCGAGACAGAGACGGGCCCGGGGGGGGGGUGGGGGUGCCGGCUGGGCUGGGCUGGGCUGGGCUGGGCUGGGCAGGGCAGGGGAGGAGAGGAGAAAGUGUCCUGCAAACCUCAAGUGGGCAGAAGCGUGGAGCAGGAAACACGCAAAGGGCAAGGAGAGGUGCGGGAGGCGCUUGUGGACGGACUGGUGUCAAUACGCGCUAGUCGAGCUCCGAAAGCGCGGCUUUAGAACAGCGCUGCUUAGUAUCCAUGUGGCGAACCUCCGCUCCUUACCCAACAAAAUGGACAAACUUUUCCUCCUGUCCCAAAGAAACAAGGACUUCUUAAACUCUGCUGCUCUGUGUUUCACGGAAACCUGGCUCAAUGAAGCCAUCCCGGACAGCGCGCUACAUCUGCCGGGCUUCCAGCUGUUCAGAGCGGAAUCAGCGGGGAAAUCACGUGGAGGUGGGACAUGCUUCUACAUCAACGAAAGGUGGUGUACAGAUGUGACAGCGUUGAAGAAGAUGUGCUGUCCCGACCUAGAAGCGCUCUUCAUCAACUGCAAGCCCUUCUACUCGCCGCGGGAGUUUUCCUCCUUCAUCCUCGUAAGUGUUUACAUUCCACCGCAAGCGUGCGUGAACGCAGCGCUGCAACAGCUGGGCGACCAGAUCACUGACACAGAGCAACAACACCCGGACUCUGUUAUAAUCAUUCUCGGGGACUUUAAUAAAGCAAAUCUCUCCCGUGAACUGCCAAAAUACAGACAGCAUAUUACAUGUCCCACCAGAGACAGUAAUAUACUGGACCACUGCUACACCACAGUAAAGGAUGCAUAUCACUCUGUUCCACGGGCAGCUUUGGGGCUCUCUGAUCACUGCCUGGUUCAUCUUAUACCGACCUACAGGCAGAAACUGAAAUCAGCUAAACCUGUAAUAAGGACUGUUAAAAGAUGGACUGAGGAAGCAGAGCAGGACUUACAAGCCUGCUUCGAGUGCACCGAUUGGAGUGUCUUUGAGGCUGCU